rnacentral:rRNA from 1 species
GAUGAACGCUGGCGGCGUGCUUAACACAUGCAAGUCGAACGGGAAUUACUUUAUUGAAACUUCGGUCGAUUUAAUUUAAUUCUAGUGGCGGACGGGUGAGUAACGCGUGGGUAACCUGCCUUAUACAGGGGGAUAACAGUCAGAAAUGACUGCUAAUACCGCAUAAGCGCACGGAACCGCAUGGUUCUGUGUGAAAAACUCCGGUGGUAUAAGAUGGACCCGCGUCCGAUUAGAUAGUUGGUGAGGUAAAGGCUCACCAAGUCGACGAUCGGUAGCCGGACUGAGAGGUUGAACGGCCACAUUGGGGACUGAGACACGGCCCAGACUCCUACGGGAGGCAGCAGUGGGGGAUAUUGCACAAUGGGCGAAAGCCUGAUGCAGCAACGCCGCGUGAGGGAAGACGGGUUUUUCGGAUUGUAAACCUCUGUUCUAAGUGACGAAGAAUGACGGUAGCUUAGGGAGGAA